rnacentral:rRNA from 1 species
UACGUAGGGGGCUAGCGUUGUCCGGAUUUAUUGGGCGUAAAGAGCGUGUAGGCGGCCAGGUAGGUCUGGUGUGAAAACUCGAGGCUUAACCUCGAGAUGUCAUCGGAAACCAUUUGGCUAGAGUCCGGAAGAGGAGAGUGGAAUUCCUGGUGUAGCGGUGAAAUGCGCAGAUAUCAGGAGGAACACCAAUUGCGAAGGCAGCUCGCUGGGACGUUACUGACGCUGAGACGCGAAAGCGUGGGGAGCGAACAGG